AUUGAACGCUGGCGGCAGGCCUAACACAUGCAAGUCGAACGAGUGGCGGACGGGUGAGUAAUGUCUGGGAAACUGCCUGAUGGAGGGGGAUAACUACUGGAAACGGUAGCUAAUACCGCAUACCAUCGGAUGUGCCCAGAUGGGAUUAGCUAGUAGGUGGGGUAAAGGCGCACCUAGGCGACGAUCCCUAGCUGGUCCGAGAGGAUGACCAGCCACACUGGAACUGAGACACGGUCCAGACUCCUACGAGAGGCAGAAGUGGGGAAUAGUGCACAAUGGGCGCAAGCCUGAUGCAGCCAGGCCGCGUGUAGGAAGAAGGCCUUCGGGUUGUAAAGUACUUUCAGCGGGGAGGCGUUACCCGCAGAAGAAGCACCGGCUAACUCCGUGCCAGCAGCCGCGGUAAUAC
rnacentral:rRNA from 1 species